rnacentral:misc_RNA from 1 species
CUGAACCCACAUAGAGCACAGGCACUGAUAAUUUCUUUUUGGGGAGUGAAUUUGUCCGUGGUGUGAUUGAUAGGUUGAUCGAAACCUAGAGAAAGGAAAGCGAGGAUGAACAUUGUAGAAUCGGUGGUUACGCAAAUCCAAGGGCUAUCGAGCAGCGCGACAGAUAUCGCUGCACUUCAUACUUAUUUGAAACAGGCAGAUGAGUCGCUUCACACUGAGUCCGCUCGGUUGUUGCCCUUCCUCGACCAUCUUGACCCGUCCAUACAUUCUCUCGGUUACCUCUAUAUCCUGGAUGCAUGUACAUCAGGUCCAAUUUCUGAAGAGCAAGCCAAAACAUUGGUCUUAAUCUUUGCCAGGUUCAUCACUUCUUGUGUUGCAGAGCAGAUUCGUUUGGCAUCUGAUAAGUUCGUAUCUGUUUGCAAGAGGUUCAAGGACCAAGUUAUGCUGCUUAAAGCACCUAUGCAGGGGGUGGCUGCAAUGCUAUCUGCUGUACGAAAGCUUCAGUCUUCCUCUGCACAUUUGACCACUUUGCAUCCAGAGUUCCUUCAACUUUGCUUAUUGUCAAAGAGCUAUAAAACUGGUCUUUCUGUUCUGGAAGAUGAUAUUUUUGAGGUUGAUCAGCCAAGAGACCUGUUUCUCUAUUGUUAUUAUGGAGGGAUGAUGUGCAUUGGACAAAAGCGCUUUCAAAAAGCAUUAGAGCUUCUGCACAAUGUUGUCACUGCUCCUAUGUCUUCUAUAAAUGCUAUAGCUGUUGAAGCGUACAAAAAAUACAUAUUGGUUUCUCUUAUUCACCAGGGACAGUUCUCCACCAGUCUCCCUAAAUAUGCUUCCUCAGCAGCUCAGAGAAAUCUGAAGAACUUCUGUCAGCCGUACAUUGAAUUGGCAAAUAGUUAUAGUACUGGAAAAAUUGCAGAACUAGAGACAUAUGUCCAGACAAGCAGGGAGAAGUUUGAAAGUGACAAUAAUCUAGGACUUGUUAAGCAGGUUCUAUCAUCUAUGUACAAGAGAAAUAUCCAGAGAUUGACCCAGACAUAUUUGACUCUCUCCCUCCAAGAUAUAGCCAACACAGUGCAACUCAAUAGCCCAAAAGAGGCGGAAAUGCAUGUGCUUCAAAUGAUCCAAGAUGGUGAAAUAUAUGCAACAAUCAACCAAAAAGAUGGGAUGGUUAGAUUCCUAGAGGAUCCUGAGCAAUAUAAAACUUGUGAGAUGAUCAAGCAUAUCGACUCCUCAAUACAAAGGAUGAUGGAACUGUCAAAGAAGUUAACUACGAUGGAUGAACUCAUGUCAUGCGAUCCCUUGUACCUGGCAAAGGCUGGGAGAGAGCGUCAGAGAUUUGAUUUUGACGAUUUUGACACUGUUCCUCAGAAAUUCAAUAUAUGAUCAGAGCCAGAGGCAUGUGGACGAGAUGUUUUAGAUGAUGCUAGGCUCAUAUUUUGUUUUAUCUGCGCCAUGUUGAAAGAGAUGGGGAAUUUUUUUCCUUUUGUUCCACCAAUGGAAAUUAAUGCACAUGUCAAAGUCCCCUCUUUUUUUUUCUUGACAUUGUGAUAAGCAUCCGGUUUUAGUCAUUAAAACAUUUCAAUCAUAUGUUUUACCGUAUGCAAGUGCUCCUACCUAUUGGAUUA